GUAAAAACAGUCACUGCUUUCAUGUGCAUUUGUGCGCUGACGUCACCGUCGGAAAUACGUUAGGGAAAAGGGCAAAAUUGCCCCCAGGAUAUAAAGCUUUGCCCCAGAUAUUACUAGAAGAGAGGCAAAUCCAGUCUCUGUCGCCAUCUCAGGUUAAACAGACCAUCGAUAGAUGGAAGAUAGAUUGGGUCGGGGUGGAGGAAGACCACAAGAGAAACACCCGCAUUUUUGCGAGGCUCCCGAGGAACUUGAACUUGCCGACAACGAAUUGCCAACGUUGUUCUUCACCACCACCGGCGAGUUCUUUUGCUGACUUCAUCAAGGGGGCGAAAACUUUAAGAAAGCAAUCAGCUCUACAACGGAGCCGACUGUGGAAGCCGUGAAUCGGAGGGCUUUCUGGUUGAGUGCAGCUUUCUGUGUUGUUGACGGCGCACAACAGCACACGGUGGAUUCUCUUUGUGAGAAUCUUUGGUGUGAAAAAGAAAGGUCUCGAGUAGAAAAUGGAUCUCAUCACAGUUCUUGGAACCUUUUGUUUAAAAGAGGGCUCCAGAGGGAAAUGACCAAGCCUUCCCGCAGUGUCAAGAAAUGGAAAACUAAGCAGGAGAAUGCUUAAACUUCACUUCACAACUUUGCACCACCGGGUGUUAAGUCGAGGGAAAUGAUCGAGGACGAGCCAGUGUAGUAUGAACCGCACCAGCAUGUCUUGGAAUACAGGCUGACAGUGUUGUUCUUUCACGGUUUUAUCCUUUUACUACCCUCAGAGUGGACAUUUUUAAAUAGGUGGAUGCCCCUUUCAUGCCUGACUGAGGCUUUGAUAUUUUAAAAAUGAAUUACCUCCAGCGGCACACAAACCUUCUCGUCUCUUUUUCUCUCUGCCUCUGUCAUGAUGCUCAUAUUACAUGUUCCUCCUUUUGUAUCUUUUUUCCCCAGUGCUGCCUACAUUUCAUUAAAGAACCAAAUUCAUGCUAAGCCUUUAUAUUUAGUUAAAUGACAAUCCUGACUUGACAUCGGAGCAGAUUCAAUCAAAUUAGAGCCAAACCUUCCUCGCAUGUAAUGGUAAUUACAAAUUAAAGCUGUAAAG
ensembl:lncRNA